GUGCUUACUUCAGCAGUACACAUACUAAAACUGGAAUGACAAGAUUGGCAUGGCCCCUGUGUAAAGAUUACAUACAAAUCUGUGAAAUAUGACAUAUUUUU
ensembl:snRNA U6 U6 spliceosomal RNA